GUCGCCGGUGCCGUUCACCCCUACGACCUUCAUCGCCGACGCCGCUCACCCCUUCGACCUUCAUCGCUGGACAUCGGCUAAUCGAACCUUCAUUGCCGCUUAUCCCUUCGGUAAAUCAUCGUCAUCGUUCUUCACAGUUAAGGUAAAUCAUCGUCAUCGUUCUUCACAGUUAAGAUUGAAAAGUUAAACGGGGUUAUUAAGGAGCUCAUUGAGUACAAGGAAGAAGAAAAAGAAAUGUUAAAUGGAAUUAUACGGAAUUGAUGACUGAAAAAUAAAAAGAUAAAGUGGAGAAGGAUGUUAUACUCAAUAGGAUGACGAACAUUAAAGCUAUGUUAAAAAUUAUAUUUCGGAGAUAAUAAACACUUUAUUUUGAAUGUUUGGAUUUA